UGGGGAAUAUUGCACAAUGGGCGCAAGCCUGAUGCAGCCAUGCCGCGUGUAUGAAGAAGGCCUUCGGGUUGUAAAGUACUUUCAGCGGGGAGGAAGGGAGUAAAGUUAAUACCUUUGCUCAUUGACGUUACCCGCAGAAGAAGCACCGGCUAACUCCGUGCCAGCCGCCGCGGUAAUACGGAGGGUGCAAGCGUUAAUCGGAAUUACUGGGCGUAAAGCGCACGCAGGCGGUCUGUCAAGUCAGAUGUGAAAUCCCCGGGCUCAACCUGGGAACUGCAUUCGAAACUGGCAGGCUAGAGUCAUGUAGAGGGGGGUAGAAUUCCAGGUGUAGCGGUGAAAUGCGUAGAGAUCUGGAGGAAUACCGGUGGCGAAGGCGGCCCCCUGGACAAAGACUGACGCUCAGGUGCGAAAGCGUGGGGAGCAAACAGG
rnacentral:rRNA from 1 species